UCUCUUCAGUCCACUUUAGUGCAAAGAGGUGGUGGUGGGGGGGUGCAGAGGGGCAGUCUUCCACUGUCAUGUGUGUGUCUGGAACAUUGGAUAAGAAGCAGAUUUCCUCAGUUAUGUUGUUCACAUCCACGUGAUAGUUCAUGAUGAGGGCCAGUCUCUAGUGAUUGUUUUGAACUUCAUGUUUAAACAGAAAACAAGGCUCUCAUCCAGCCUCCCUGCAGCCUGAUGUGCCCACAGGGAACAUUAAGAAGACGAAGUCACAUUUAGAGAUGCUGGGCCUGCUUCCAUGACAUAGAGCCUGCAGACACUAAGUUGAGAAAGUACCUAGGCUGUGGAAGAGAUGCUGAUCGUACUGGCCAAAGCUGGCCCUGUGGGAAGCACCAGCUGCCUGGCCACAGUCAGAAAAUACUUCUAUCCUUCCCAGGAGCUAGAGCUGGUGAUUAGUGCCCCCUGAGUGUCUGUCUUUGCAGACUCUGCCUGGUCCCAGAGGAGGAAGAACAGAAACAAAGGAGAAUGGGACUUUAUAUUGAGAGUAACUGGGACAGGCAGUGGUUCUAUCACCAUGUCUUGUACAUGAAGCCUAAGACAUUGGUUGUAACCAACCAUCCCUUUUGGCUGCUCCAGGCAAGAAGAUAAACCAAAUGCCAGUGGUAAAACUAGUUCCAUGACCACAGCUAGCUACAAGAGGAGUAGAAAAUAAUUCACCGACUCUCUGCAAUAGAAGAGAGAUCAUAACAUCUGUUGGUGCUGAGACUCAAACCCGGAUCCUCUGGAAGAGCACAGAGUUUACCACUGAGCCAUCUCUUCAGCUCCAAGGAGGUGUCAUAUAUCCAUUGGGCAUUCUGGCCUCUCUGCAUCAACGCAUAAGAAGUCCAGGCCUUCUUCCUUCCUCUCUUUCUCCUGCUGUCUCCAGGGUAGAGAAGCCUAAAUGUCUGCUUUCUGUUGGCCGCAUGUAUUUAGUAGUAGUUCAUGAACCUGCAAUAAAUGAAAUGAAGGACAGGUGCUCUGCUAGGACAUAACAGCUCUGUCCAAGUACACAGGGAGCCCUUGGAGACAGGAUCUUUACUCCUCUUGGUGAGCUCCUUAUCUUCCCAAUCCCUGUUCCCUCUUGGCCUUCCUCCCCAACUCUGCUUCCCUCCUCUCACCCACAGCUCUCCCCUGUGACCUCUGAGAGGCAGUGAAUGUACCGACCCCAGUGCCAAGGGCUGCACCGCCUUCCUGGUGCCUGCUGUUCCCUGUUAUUCUCAUCCUCCUGUAAUUCGAGGGGACAGGUGAGAUGUGCUUCAAAACACUGUAAUCAUAUUUUAAAUGGAAAUGAAAUGUGUGAAUUAAAUGUAAAUUACAGUAGAAUGGAGGGACAAUCACUAUUAGUUAAGGUCUGACACCUAUUUUUGCAGACCUUUCCCAAACGCCACAACUUGUUUCCCACACGUGAGAUGAGAGGCUGUAAUUAUGAGGCAGCUGCUUCUGCAGUUGGACUGAUGCUAGUUACUGGAUCAUUUGUGUGAGUUUGUGUGGGGGGAGAUCUGCAUGUGACGCUGCAUAUGUAUUUUAAAUAGAUAUGGACUGCUGUUGGUACUAUAAAAUCAUCCAGAAGAAAUGAUAUUUUUAUACUAGGGCUAUGAGAAGAAAAAAACCCAAUGCCUUUUUUCCCCUCUCCUUUUUGUUUUCCCCUUAGAAAGGUGAGGGAGUAAUAUAAAGGGACACUUUUAUAUAGUCAAUUUAUUUACGGAUUCUCCAUUUGCUUUUAUAUUGGAAAAAUAUGUGCUGUGCCAAUGAGUCGCAAUUUGGCCCUCAAUCUCUGCCUGCCUCCCUCCCCCUAGUGCAUACAAUCUCCUUGAUUUCCAGCAGAGCCCACAUUUCUUGUGCAUAACCAUUCCUGAAGCAUUUUUCAAGAUGGGGUACCAGCACGUUGUUAUGAUUCCUUGCAUGAUGAAGGGGAUGAUUUUAUCAUCUGCCUACUCGAGACCACGACAAACACCAGAGGAGAUUUUAAACAAUCAUUUCCAUUACAACCUGGCUAAUCUCUUGUUUCUAGGUAGACAGUGACCGGUGGAUUAGAUGUAUUCUGAAACUUUUGGAGUCAUUCCCAUGGUGACUCUUCCACCUUUCAGAGAUAAGUGCAAAUCUGAACAUUAAGGAACUAAGGGCCGACAUAGGGGAAGAUCAGUAAGUCUGCAGAAGCACUAUCCGUCCAAAUAUCCUUCCUUGAUCCAUCUUGUUUGUGCUAACUAAACGCUUCCGACUUCGGCAGAGCAGUCAGCAGAUAAUAUAUGUUGAAUAAUUUUGUGUGUCAGUGAUUUUCACGAAACUUGCAUUUUCAAAGCCACAAAGAUGCAAGCUCAGUCAAUAUUUGGUUUUCAGGGACACGUGCCACUAAGAUAAUGACUGUUCUGUGAAGAGCAAGGAUUCCAGCCCAUUGGUUCCAUCCUCUGGGCUGGGUCGUGCAGCAGCCCCUCACUCAUGGUCCCCUCCCUGCCUGGACCCACUGCCCCUAUCAUUACCUUAGCUUCUGUCUUAAGCCUGGCUCUGAUGACAUCAUUUCUUGCCCGGUCUGAAGCCUGUAGGGCUAGUGUGGAGACAGUCAAGAGUCCCCGUGGAGGCUUACCAGACUCUUCCUCCUUCCCACCAUUCCAAGCUCCUUUCUUCUCUAGUCUUUGUCUACUUUGUCUAUCUCCUUUCUGGUAACCACACAUAUCUCAGAAGUUUUCUCUCAGACAUUUCCUUGGAGUUGAAACCUUUCUACCUCCCUCCUGUUUAGUGUGAACCCAAAGACUCCUUGGACUGUGGUCCUUACCAUGCAGUUCUUAAGAGGUACAUCCUAGUGGAAGGAGUGAGGUUCUUCUAUAUCCACUAUAUACCUACUCAAGAACUGUGGAAUCUCAGCUACACCCUUCCACCUCCUCAUCCCCUCUCCCUUUCCUGUUUUCUCCCCUCCCCCAAUUUCCCUAUUGGUCAUUAGGUGAAUACAUCUCUUCUGCUAAGCACUUGCGUGUGAUGUGCUGCCUUCACAGAUCCAAAGCAACGUGGGCUAAAAUCUUUGAAACCAUGAGUCAAAGCAAGCUACUCUUCUUAAGCUAAUUUAUCCCAGGAAUCUGUAAUGUUACCAAAUAGAUGAGUAACACUUAGGCUAAAUCGCGUGCCUGGCUGCUGUGUUCCCAACUAUCCUGACUCUGCCAUUCCAUACCUCUACUGACCCGUGUACAACCAUUUCUACAUCACUUAAGUCCAGACCAGCAAGUCUGGCACCAUGAUGACAUCUCCCUCAGAGCUCCACAGGCAGCCAGGAGAAGCCUUCUAGGUAGUAGAGGGGUCUCUUGGCAAGCUACUUCUUUAAGCUAAGUAAACAUAAACGUCAACUUUUGAAUUCCCUGUUUCCUCCCUAGUAGACAUCAUCCAUCUUCAUUUUCACGUGGCACAUAAAAUUGCUGUCUGUAACAAAAUGUAAAGCACAUCAGGUGUCUUCUUGAUUUCAUUAUGUCUUCUAGAACCUUGUUUAUGUUCACGCAGAAACAAAAUUAGUUGGCAGUCUGCGUUCUGAAUGCAAAUCUGGUCGUGGUUUUGGCUUCUCUGCCACCAACCCCUGUGGCUCAGUGGUAGAAAGGUUAGUGAGGACUGAAAAAAAAUAACAAAGAGGGGGAUAAAGGAACAUCUCCAUGACCUUAUUGGAGUAGAAGUUAAAAAGAAAGGAUCAGUGUCUCUAACCUAAUUAAGAAGACAGUGGUAUUUGUAUUAUACGAACCAAGUCCAAAUACAAACUGAACCAGCGAGUGAUUAUGUAACUACAGCUACAAAGUCUGUGAAAUUCCAGUAGGUGCUGACAGGACUAACAGGCAUCAGAGAUGCAGUCAUUUGAGGGGGUCAAAUGGAUUUGAGGAGUAUCCCCUGAGAAGGCCCAGUCCUGGGUAAUUCACUGCUUUUGACACAUUUUAUUAAUUUCUUAAA